AACGAACGCUGGCGGCAGGCCUAACACAUGCAAGUCGAGCGCGCCCUUCGGGGUGAGCGGCGGACGGGUGAGUAACGCGUGGGAACGUGCCCUUUUCUACGGAAUAGCCUCGGGAAACUGAGAGUAAUACCGUAUACGCCCUUUGGGGGAAAGAUUUAUCGGAAAAGGAUCGGCCCGCGUUGGAUUAGGUAGUUGGCGGGGUAAUGGCCUACCAAGCCGACGAUCCAUAGCUGGUUUGAGAGGAUGAUCAGCCACACUGGGACUGAGACACGGCCCAGACUCCUACGGGAGGCAGCAGUGGGGAAUCUUAGACAAUGGGGGCAACCCUGAUCUAGCCAUGCCGCGUGAGUGAUGAAGGCCUUAGGGUUGUAAAGCUCUUUCAGCUGGGAAGAUAAUGACGGUACCAGCAGAAGAAGCCCCGGCUAACUCCGUG
rnacentral:rRNA from 1 species